AUAUAAUUUUAGUUGAUUGCUCAAUUCUUAUCUUGUACAUUCCUAAUACCUUUUCUAACAGCAAAAGUCAGAAUUCCCGUCUUUAAAUUUUUAGUCAUCCUAAAGCCAGAUUUAGACAGACGCAAGCGUAUCACGCAUCACUGGCUAGGGCAAGCCCGUCUGGGCAAAUACUAAAAGCCAGUUUUAGUGUAUAUGUUUUAUGUACAUAGGGCAACACUUAACAUUUAUAUUUAUUGCUGCUUAUAGAACUUCCAACUAUUUCUGCUCAUGAAAUAACCGCAUUAUCAAAGCUGAAAGUGUUAAUGGAGAUAAGGUGACUUUCUAUUUUGUUUUGCAAAAACACUGCCAAUUAACACAUACUAAGAGAGCAGCACACGCCACAGGCGGCAGCCUGGGAAGAUUCCCAUGACAAGUGUUGAUAAACCUCUGGCGUUAAAUAGUUAAAGCGGCGCUUAAAACUGGACACAGAUUAACAUUCUAGUAGCUUAUGCAAUAAUUUGUAUAUAAAGUAUAGCUCAUAUCAAUAAUUUGCAUUGUAUAAUCAGCUGUAGAAUAGUGGCCGCGCCUCUCUCCCAUGUGGGCAUUGAAUGUGCUGGCUUAUCAGCUCGGCAAAGCGCUUAAAUAACACAAAACAAGACAACGCCUAUCAAAGAGCCGAAUUUUAACACCGAUUUGUUGCCAAACUAGACGCUAGGGGAGGGGGUUCGGCGGCGUUGGGUGCUGCGUGCACAUAACCUCUGUGCAUUAGCUGCAUUCACAAAUUGGGGUUGGCUAAUGACAACUGCAGAGAAAUUAAGACCAAUUGGUGCGUGUUUUGGGUUUACGCAAUGCCAGGGAAUACUUUACUGCAGUCAUUCGUCUAGGCCAAAAUUUAAAAAAUUACAUAACACCGCCACGGAUUCGCGAGGUCUGCGUUUUGUUCGCACUUUGUGGCUGCGCCGACAAUGUUGCAAAUGCAAACUUUAUGUGAAUUUGGUUAGUUAGUCCACGUAAAUGCGCAGCAUUCUUGAUUGUGUAAUUUAAUUGUAGUGCGUUUUGGUCACAGCUACCUACCAUUGACGUGACUGCAUUUUUGGCCAAAAUCGAUGGCACACGCAUAAUUCGGUACAUUUUUGAGGUUGCUGCUGCUCUGCUGUGUCUGCAAUGGAAGAUGCACUUUAGUUCAAUUUGUACGCGCACCAAAAAAGCAACAUAAAUUAAUAAAAAGUAAAAGCAAAAUCUAUACGUGUUUGUGUCUAUGUGUUCAAAACGAAAAA